GGACAAUCUGCCCUAUGGUGGGGAAUAAUCUCGGGAAACUGAGGACAAUGCCCCAUAGGUCUGGAUAGCUGGAACGCUUUCAGACUUAAAGUUCAAGCGCCAUAGGAUGAGUCUGCGCCGGAUUAGGUUGUAGGUGGUGUAACGGACCACCUAGCCGAUGAUCUGUACGGGUUGUGAGAGCAAUCGCCCGGAGAUGGAUUCUGAGACACGAAUCCAGGCCCUACGGGGCGCAGCAGGCGCGAAAACUUUACAAUGCACGAAAGUGUGAUAAGGUGAUCCCAAGUGCAUACGCAAAGCGUAUGCUUUUAUUGACCCUAAAAAGGUUGAUGAAUAAGGGGUGGGUAAGUCUAGUGCCAGCCGCCGCGGUAACACUAGCAACCCAAGUGGCAAUCUACUUAUUGGGCUUAAAACGUCCGUAGCUUGUUUUGUAAGUUCCUGGUGAAAUCCACAGAAAACCUGUGGGCGUGCCAGGGAUACUGCGAGACUUGAGACCGGGAGAGGUAAGAGGUAUUCUUUGGGUAAGAUUGAAAUCUGCUGAUCCUUAGAGGACCAACAGUGGCGAAGGCGUCUUACUAGAACGGUUCUGACGGUGAUGGACGAAAGCCAGGGGAGCGAAACGGAUUAGAUACCCGUGUAGUCCUGGCCGUAAACGAUGCAGACUAGGUGUUGCGCGUUCUUCGUGUUCACGCAGUGCCGAAGGAAAACCGUUAAGUCUGCUGCCUGGGAAGUACGGUCGCAAGACUGAAACUUAA
rnacentral:rRNA from 1 species